rnacentral:lncRNA from 1 species
ACGUCGAAAUAAUUAUCGUCGGAUAAUCGUUUCGAUCCGGGUUCCCGGAAGUGUCUAAUUCGACACCCGAACCCACUAUCGCUCAACCGUCAUUUCUGAACUCUCGAUAUGACGCGAGUGACCAGCCAACAAGGCUCAGCGACUACACAAUAGCUCACGAAGCACCGUCGGAAUAAUUCUGAACCGAACCCGCGUUCCGUCGGCGGAUUUCGCCGAGAAACGCUCUGAAAAUCACUUUCCGAUUUUCGACAA